AAAUGAAUGCAUUAAGUGGACAGUAAGUCUGAAAACGAUUGGACAGGAGGACUCUGGUUUGUUUUCCCUCUGUUCUUCUUCUUCUUCUUGUUCGUACUUUUUUUCUUUCUUUCUUUUGUUUCUC
rnacentral:ribozyme from 11 species